rnacentral:rRNA from 1 species
AACGAACGCUGGCGGCAGGCUUAACACAUGCAAGUCGAACGAAGUCUUCGGACUUAGUGGCGCACGGGUGAGUAACACGUGGGAAUAUACCUCUUGGUGGGGAAUAACAUCGGGAAACUGAUGCUAAUACCGCAUACGCCCUUCGGGGAAAGAUUUAUCGCCGAGAGAUUAGCCCGCGUCCGAUUAGCUAGUUGGUGAGGUAAUGGCUCACCAAGGCGACGAUCGGUAGCUGGUCUGAGAGGAUGAUCAGCCACACUGGGACUGAGACACGGCCCAGACUCCUACGGGAGGCAGCAGUGGGAUAUUGGACAAUGGGCGAAAGCCUAGAUCCAGCCAUAGCCGCGUGAGUGAAGAAGGCCUUC